rnacentral:rRNA from 1 species
GACGUAGGGCGCGAGCGUUGUCCGGAUUUAUUGGGCGUAAAGAGCUCGUAGGCGGCUUGUUGCGUCAGCUGUGAAAACCCGCAGCUCAACUGUGGGCUUGCAGCUGAUACGGGCAGGCUUGAGUUCGGUAGGGGAGACUGGAAUUCCUGGUGUAGCGGUGAAAUGCGUAGAUAUCGAUCGGAACACCCAUGGCGAAGGCAGCUCGCUGGCCUGUAACUGACGCUGAGGUGCGAAAGCGUGGGGAGCAAACAGG